UUCUUUUGGUUCAAGAUAGAUGAAUGUUUAAUUCAAUAUUUUCCUAGAGGCCCCUCCAUUCUUUUUCUAUAGUAGGCUCGGGAGGCACCAGGAAUGCUCUUGUACCUUGCUGGAGCCAGUGGCGAUGAGUAUGUUCCAAAAGGCCGGGGCGAAGAGAAGGGGGGGCAGGCAGGCAGGGGCCUGCCCCCUCCAUUGUUCCACGGACUUCAAUGGAUGGACUGUUCGAAUUGACAAUUUUUGCCAUUCGCUAUUCUGGCAUACCUUGCAUAGGCUUCAAGCAGCUGCAACAAAGAUCAAGUGCAUGAUUAGAUAUAUAGAAAGGACAAGAUAUGGGAUGAACUAGGUGCAAGAUCACUUACAUGCUCUUGGUAUGGAAUGCCGCUUGGAUGACAACGCUGGACCUCCUCGUAGUAGUCUUGGAAUUUCAUGCACUCCUUUAGUAUGAUUCCAAAGCGAUGCUCGAGUGAAUUGGGAGUCCUAUCGGACUCAAAGUCCCUAUUCAUGUGAAAAUCAUUUGCGAUCCUCUCCCAAUAAGUUUUUCCUGGCUGCUGAUUCCCUAUGAUAUGGUCAUUGCUGAUAUGAAUCCAAGAUUUGCAAAGUUGGAUAUCUUCAAGAUCAGUGUAGUUGUUGCCUCGCUUUGAUUUGCCGCCAGUACUUGGAGUGGCAUCCUCCUGCACUUCCUGCUGCCUCAACAAUUCUAAAUCAUCAUCCACUUCAUGUGUCAAAAUGUUUGUGAAAUAUCCACUUCCUGGUGCACUUGAAGCCCUUGGUUGCUGCAA
rnacentral:lncRNA from 1 species